GCCAGCGUAGCUCAGUGGUAGAGCAGCGGUUUCGUAAACCGCUGGCCGGAGGUUCGAAUCCUCUCGCUGGCUCCA
rnacentral:tRNA from 1 species